AUUCCGUGAGGUCUGAGUCAGGAGAGGACACCGAUGUUUCCUAGGUGCCUCUCGGUGCCAGGCCUCUGCACCCUGCCGGGCACUGUCUCCCCCAGACACCCGGCCCUGCAUUUCCCCAUUUCACAGAUGGAGACACUGAGGCUGAAGGGAGCCUGGCUCCAGGCCGUGCGGGGGCUUCAGCACCAGGGGCAUCAGCUGCUUACCGGGGAAGCCUCGGGACAACCACCGGCUCCCGGCCCCUGCCUGGAGCUAACUGUUCCAGCGCCCAGCUCCUCACAGUGUGGGGGGGUCAGCUGGGCAGCACGGGGCGGGCAGAGUCCGGAGAGGAGGGCCAGGCAGCAACACUGGAAGGCUGGGUGCUGGGGUGGGUACCGGAAGCCCUCACGUGGCUCUCUCGGGUCCACGGCCUCCCAUAAAAUGGGAAGAGAGGAGCCACCAGCCACAGAACCUUCCCGGCACACGGGGAGAACCUGUGCACGGCGGGAUCCGUCCCAGGAGCCGCAGGGAUCGGCCACAGCAUCCCAGCCCUGGCGUCAGCCCCAACCUCGCCUGACUGGAGAGGGUGCGCCCCUCCCGGCCCCUCCCCUCCGUGCCCUCUCCAGACGCCGCCCGUCCUGCAAGAAGGCGAUGUGUUUUAUCGGGGGCAUUUAUUAUCGACAAUUGCCUCAUGAAUCUCCCUCUAUACACAUGCAUAUACAUAAGAGGUGGGUAAGUAUGCAGGGAAAAGCCACCGAGCCCAAUCUCACUGAUGGAGUCAACUUGCCCCCAUAAAGAUAACGGGAAAUGAUUCAUAAUAUUUAUUUGACAGACAUGAUAUGAACCGUAAUAGCCUGUUGGGAUUAAAAAUAUCCGUACGUCUCUGUCAUCCACCAAUGUGGUUUAAAUAUUAUAUAUGUGGCCACUGGGGCAACGGGGAGCUGGGAGCGGUUAUUGAUAGCGGCCGUAAAAAGGAGUCGUUUUGCACUGAAGGAUGGGGAAAGUAACCGAGGAGUUGGCCCCAGUGCUCCUUGGGGCUCGCAUCGAAAGAACCUGCACUUGAGAGGACGCUCCCCACCCCCCAGACUGCCAGCACCCGGGGGCUCGGCCGGUGGCAGUGGUGUCACGGGAGGGCCAGCCCCAGCUCCAGGCUGCAGCGCAGGGUCCCCACAGGGGAGGCCAUCGAAAGCCCAGGCCCCACCCUCUCUGGCCGGAGACCCCCACAGGUCAGCCUGUCCCCAGCCUCCACCCAGCAGAAGAGAGCAUCAGCCCCCUCCCCGCCACCCUGUGAGUCAGUCACUCCCCUGCUUAAAAACUCUUCCAAGCUCCCCACUGCCUUCGGGUAAAGUCCAAACUCCUAAGAGAACUUCAGCCCUUCCCACGAGCCACACCCCACCCCCCAGGCCGGCAGCAGGGCAAGACUGCUGCUCUGGACCACGGUCCCCAGCUGGCCACCCCACAGCACACUCCAAGGCCCAGCUCCGACGGGCCCCUCUCAGCAGUUUGCAGACCACCCUCCCCCAGCACGCACAGCCCCCAAGCCUGGCUGGGGCUUCUCUGUGCCCCACGGCAACCUGCACCCCGUGUGCCUCCGUGUGGCCUGUUUCCUUGAUAUUCCCAAGGCCAGGGACCCAGGAUCGGCAGCUUUCCAUUCCUCCCACGGAAAGUCCCCCCAUGGUCACCAAGGGGGGGUGGGGAGGACACCAUUUUAAAGGGGCCUGGGCCCUGCCGUGGCCACGCAAUGGCUCCUCCUCCAAGCCCUGGGGGUGGGCCUCAGGAUCCUCGUUUAUUGUCCACCUAGGUCCUCCUAGACUUAAGAGAAGUAUUUCUCUCCCAGGACUUCGGUUUACCUCUCAGUACAGCGACCCUUCAGCAUGGGGAUGUCAAGGCCCCUUGAAUACCUCACAGGAAGCCUUUUAGGGUUUGCUUUGGGAAGUGCCCAUGGGCAUUGUCACCGAGAAAACCAAACCGAGAAAACCUCGGGGAGGGUUAACCCCCUCCACCACCACCCUACCUCACCCCACCCGCCUGGCCCCCAGCCCUAUCAGGGAGCCCGGACCCCAGGCUGAUGAAUUACCGGCUCCUGGUGACAAUGGGCCUUUGUUUGUCCCACUAAUGAGGGUCCCAGCUCCCUAAAGGAGCAGCCUCUGGGCUGAGACACCGGCAGGAGGGGCGGGGCAGUCCUGGAAAUGAGGUCACCCGGGAGGAGGGGCCGGGGCCCCACUGCACACAGUGCCUGGGGGUCUGCGCCCUGGGAGAGGAGAGACGGACCGAUGGGAAAGAUUGUCUUCGGGGUCAUAAACUAUUUCCACGGACGAGUGACCUAGGAAACACACACGCACCAGUGUGCCUUUGGACGAGACACCCUCCUACCCCUCCCUCCCCACUCCAGCAUCGAGGUGGACAUGAGAUUGGAGAAAUGAAUACGGCAGGUGGAACAGACGGAAACCCGCAGAAAGGAAUGAAAUAAAGAGAAGUCAAUGAAACA